AGUUCUCAACCAUACUUCGGUGUGGCUUGGAUUUGGGGGUUUUUGCAGGCUUCAAAGAAAGUCGGCUCCCCUGAAAAGCAUUAGCGGUGUCCGAGUACCUUUGGUGUGAUAACUAUCUAUGCCUUGGUGUAUACGAUGCAUGCUGCUUCUGAACUUCAUCUUUAUUGACAA
rnacentral:misc_RNA from 1 species